rnacentral:rRNA from 1 species
UACAGAGGUCCCAAGCGUUGUUCGGAUUCACUGGGCGUAAAGGGUGCGCAGGUGGGUUUGCAAGUUCGAUGUGAAAGCCCCGGGCUUAACCCGGGAAUGGCAUUGGAUACUGCAGAUCUGGAGGAUUGGAGGGGGGACUGGAAUUCUUGGUGUAGCAGUGAAAUGCGUAGAUAUCGGGAGGAACACCAGUGGCGAAGGCGGCCUUCUGGACGAUGACUGACGCUGAGACACGAAAGCGUGGGGAGCAAACAGG